rnacentral:rRNA from 1 species
GCUUAACACAUGCAAGUCGAACGAGGAUUUAACGGAAUGCGAUUCGUCAAAUGAAAUUAAAUCCGAGUGGCGGACGGGUGAGUAACGCGUGGAUAACCUGCCUCACACAGGGGGACAACAGUUGGAAACGACUGCUAAUACCGCAUGACACAAGUAAUUCGCAUGAAUAACUUGCCAAAGAUUAUAUCGCUUUGAGAUGGCCUCGCGUCCGAUUAGCUAGUUGGUGAGGUAAUGGCCCACCAAGGCGACGAUCGGUAGCCGGACUGAGAGGUUGAACGGCCACAUUGGGACUGAGACACGGCCCAGACUCCUACGGGAGGCAGCAGUGGGGAAUAUUGCACAAUGGGGGAAACCCUGAUGCAGCGACGCCGCGUGGAGGAAGAAGGUCUUCGGAUUGUAAACUCCUGUUGUUGAGGAAGAUAAUGACGGUACUCAACAAGGAAGUGACGGCUAACUACGUG